GAUGAACGCUGGCCGCGUGCCUAAUACAUGCAAGUCGAGCGAACAGACGAGGAGCUUGCUCCUCUGACGUUAGCGGCGGACGGGUGAGUAACACGUGGAUAACCUACCUAUAAGACUGGGAUAACUUCGGGAAACCGGAGCUAAUACCGGAUAAUAUAUUGAACCGCAUGGUUCAAUAGUGAAAGACGGUUUUGCUGUCACUUAUAGAUGGAUCCGCGCCGCAUUAGCUAGUUGGUAAGGUAACGGCUUACCAAGGCAACGAUGCGUAGCCGACCUGAGAGGGUGAUCGGCCACACUGGAACUGAGACACGGUCCAGACUCCUACGGGAUGCAGCAGUAGGGAAUCUUCCGCAAUGGGCGAAAGCCUGACGGAGCAACGCCGCGUGAGUGAUGAAGGUCUUCGGUUCGUAAAACUCUGUUAUGAGGGAAGAACAAAUGUGUAAGUAACUAUGCACGUCUUGACGGUACCUAAUCAGAAAGCCACGGCUAACUACGUG
rnacentral:rRNA from 1 species